GGAUUAGAUACCCUGGUAGUCCACACCGUAAACGCUGUCUACUAGCUGUUUGGACUUUCAUUAGACUGAGUAGCGAAGCUAACGCGCUAAGUAGACCGCCUGGGGAGUACGGCCGCAAGGUUAAAACUCAAAUGAAUUGACGGGGGCCCGCACAAGCGGUGGAGCAUGUGGUUUAAUUCGAUGCAACGCGAAGAACCUUACCUACACUUGACAUACCAAGAACUUACUAGAGAUAGUUUGGUGCCUUCGGGAACUUGGAUACAGGUGCCGCAUGGCUGUCGUCAGCUCGUGCCG
rnacentral:rRNA from 1 species